rnacentral:rRNA from 1 species
AGCGAACGCUGGCGGCAGGCUUAACACAUGCAAGUCGAGCGCCCCGCAAGGGGAGCGGCAGACGGGUGAGUAACACGUGGGAACGUGCCUUUUGGUUCGGAACAACCCAGGGAAACUUGGGCUAAUACCGGAUAAGCCCUUACGGGGAAAGAUUUAUCGCCAAAAGAUCGGCCCGCGUCUGAUUAGCUAGUUGGUGGGGUAAUGGCCCACCAAGGCUACGAUCAGUAGCUGGUCUGAGAGGAUGAUCAGCCACAUUGGGACUGAGACACGGCCCAAACUCCUACGGGAGGCAGCAGUGGGGAAUAUUGGACAAUGGGGGCAACCCUGAUCCAGCCAUGCCGCGUGAGUGAUGAAGGCCUUAGGGUUGUAAAGCUCUUUUAGCAGGGAAGAUAAUGACGGUACCUGCAGAAAAAGCCCCGGCUAACUUCGUGCCAGCCGCCGCAGUAAAAC